UCGAACGCCCCGCUAGGGGAGUGGCAGACGGGUGAGUAACGCGUGGGAAUCUACCGUACCCUACGGAAUAGCUCUGGGAAACUGGAAGUAGUACCGUAUACGCCCGAAAGGGGAAAGAUUUAUCGGGGUAUGAUGAGCCCGCGUUGGAUUAGCUAGUUGGUGGGGUAAAGGCCUACCAAGGCGACGAUCCAUAGCUGGUCUGAGAGGAUGAUCAGCCACAUUGGGACUGAGACACGGCCCAAACUCCUACGGGAGGCAGCAGUGGGGAAUAUUGGACAAUGGGGGCAACCCUGAUCCAGCCAUGCCGCGUGAGUGAUGAAGGUCUUAGGAUUGUAAAGCUCUUUCAACGGUGUAGAUAAUGACGGUAACCGUAGAAGAAGCCCCGGCUAACUUCGUGCCAGCAGCCGCGGUAAUACGAAGGGGGCUAGCGUUGUUCGGAAUUACUGGGCGUAAAGCGCACGUAGGCGGGUAUUUAAGUCAGGGGUGAAAUCCCGCAGCUCAACUGCGGAACUGCCUUUGAUACUGGGUAUCUUGAGUAUGGAAGAGG
rnacentral:rRNA from 1 species